CAGCCGCCGCGGUAAUUCGUAAGGACCGAGCGUUGUCCGGAAUCAUUGGGCGUAGAGGGUACGUAGGCGGCUAGAAAAGUUAGAAGUCAAAGGCUAUAGCUCAACUAUAGUAAGCUUCUAAAACUAUUUAGCUUGAGAAAUGGAAGGGAAAGUGGAAUUCCUAGUGUAGCGGUGGAAUGCGCAGAUAUUAGGAAGAAUACCGGUGGCGAAGGCGACUUUCUGGCCAUUAUCUGACGCUGAGGUACGAAAGCGUGGGUAGCAAACAGGAUUAGAUACCCUGGUAGUCCACGCCGUAAACGAUGAGUGUUAGGUGUCUGGAGUCAAAUCUGGGUGCCGCAGCAAACGCAUUAAACACUCCGCCUGGGGAGUACGCACGCAAGUGUGAAACUCAAAGGAAUUGACGG
rnacentral:rRNA from 1 species